rnacentral:rRNA from 1 species
UACAGGGGGUGCAAACGUUGCUCGGAAUUAUUGGGCGUAAAGCGCGCGUAGGCGGCCACUUAAGUCGGAUGUGAAAGCCCCUGGCUCAACUGGGGAAGUGCACCCGAAACUGAAUGGCUUGAAUGCAAAAGAGGGUCGCGGAAUUCCCGGUGUAGAGGUGAAAUUCGUAGAUAUCGGGAAGAACACCAGUGGCGAAGGCGGCUAUCUGGACGGUUUCUGACGCUAAGACGCGAAAGCGUGGGGAGCAAACAGG